UCUAUCUUUUCAUUUAGAGUUACUUUUCAAGAGUAGAGUAUACAUUUGAACAAAUGAAAUAACUUAUUUUAUAUUUAACUUUUCUAGGGCAGCUUUGGAAGAAGUAGAAGGUGAUGUGGCAGAAUUGGAACUAAAACUUGAUAAGCUUGUGAAGCUUUGUAUUGCAAUGAUUGACACUGGAAAAGCCUUUUGUGUUGCAAAUAAACAGUUCAUGAAUGGGAUUCGAGACCUGGCUCAGUAUUCUAGUAACGAUGCUGUAGUUGAGACAAGUUUGACCAAGUUUUCCGACAGUCUUCAAGAAAUGAUAAAUUUUCACACACAUUCUCUGGAAUUCUAAUUGCAUAGCAUCCCAGUAUAAAGGAUGAUCAAGAAAAACUGCUUUCUGAAACAAUAAAUAGUGUAACCUGCAUUAGAUUCUGUAGCAGAGCUCAUAACAAUUGGGCUUUGGUAUAUCAGUUUGUGUAAGGAUAAAAGUCUGGAUAUUUCAGAGGGGUCAUUUAUGAACUUUGUGGGCUUAAAUAAACAUUUGAAAAUAAUAAAACCAUUUGUGUUAUUAGCCAAAUAAAGAUUAAACAUAUGUUGGA